rnacentral:rRNA from 1 species
GUCUUUUUGUAAUUAAUAUAAAGUCUAAUCUGCCCGGUGAAAAUGUUUAACGGCCGCAGUAUUUUAACUGUGCAAAGGUAGCAUAAUCAUUAGUUUUUUAAUUGAAAGCUUGUAUGAAUGAUUGGACGAGAUAUAAACUGUCUCAUAAAAAGUUUUAUAGAAUUUAAUUUUUUAGUAAAAAAGCUAAAAGGAAUUUAAAAGACGAGAAGACCCUAUAGAUCUUUAUAUUUUAUUUAUAGAUUUUUUUUAGAAAUUUUUAAAAUUUAUAAAAAAGAAUAUUUUAUUGGGGUGAUAUUGAAAUUUAAUUAACUUUCAAUUAUUUAUGAACAUAAAUUUAUGAAUUUUUGAUCCUUUAUUAUUGAUUAAAAAUUUAAGUUACCUUAGGGAUAACAGCGUAAUAAUUUUAGAGAGUUCUUAUCGAUAAAAUAGAUUGCGACCUCGAUGUUGGAUUAAGAUUAAUUUUGGGUGUAGCUGUUCAAAGUAUUAAGUCUGUUCGACUUUUAAUUUCUU